rnacentral:rRNA from 1 species
AGAGUUUGAUCCUGGCUCAGGAUGAACGCUAGCGACAGGCUUAACACAUGCAAGUCGAGGGGCAGCGGGGGAGUGGCAACACUUCCGCCGGCGACCGGCGCACGGGUGAGUAACACGUAUGAAACCUGCCCGCAGCAGGGGGAUAAGCGGAAGAAAUUCCGUCUAAUACCGCGUAACAACCGACGGGGGCAUCCCUGUUGGUUCAAAGGAGCGAUCCGGCUGCGGAUGGUCAUGCGGCGCAUUAGCUAGUUGGCGGGGCAACGGCCCACCAAGGCGACGAUGCGUAGGGGUUCUGAGAGGAAGGUCCCCCACACUGGUACUGAGACUCGGACCAGACUCCUACGGGAGGCAGCAGUGAGGAAUAUUGGUCAAUGGCCGAGAGGCUGAACCAGCCAAGUCGCGUGAGGGAUGACGGCCCUACGGGUUGUAAACCUCUUUUGUCAGGGAACAAAAGUGGGGACGUGUCCCCAUCUGCGUGUACCUGAAGAAAAAGCAUCGGCUAACUCCGUGCCCAGCAGCCGCGGUAAUACGGAGGAUGCGAGCGUUAUCCCGAUUUUAUUGGGUUUUAAAGGGUGCGCAGGCGGUCUGUUAAGUCCGCGGUAAAAGCCCCGGGGCUCCAACCCCCGGCGACCCGUUGAAAACUGGCGGAACUAGAGAAGAAGAAAAGUAGGCGGAAUGGCGCGGUGUAGCGGUGAAAUUGCUUAGAUAUCGCGCAGAACUCCGAUUGCCAAGGGCAGCCUACCGGCUUCUAUCUGACGCUCAGGCACGAAAGCGUGGGUAUCGAACAGGAUUAGAUACCCUGGUAGUCCACGCAGUAAACGAUGAAUGCCGGCUGUCCGGCCCGACUGGGGGCUGGGUGGCGAAGCGAAAGCGAUAAGCAUUCCACCUGGGGAGUACGCCGGCAACGGUGAAACUCAAAGGAAUUGACGGGGGCCCGCACAAGCGGAGGAACAUGUGGUUUAAUUCGAUGAUACGCGAGGAACCUUACCCGGGCUCAAACGGCGGAUGACAGGUGCAGAGACGCACCCUCCUACGGGCAUCCGCCGAGGUGCUGCAUGGUUGUCGUCAGCUCGUGCCGUGAGGUGUCGGCUUAAGUGCCAUAACGAGCGCAACUCCUGCCGACAGUUGCUAACGGAUAAUGCCGAGGACUCUGUCGGGACUGCCGGCGCAAGCCGUGAGGAAGGCGGGGAUGACGUCAAAUCAGCACGGCCCUUACGUCCGGGGCGACACACGUGUUACAAUGGCCGGUACAGCGGGAAGCCAGGCGGCGACGCCGAGCGGAACCCGAAAACCGGUCUCAGUUCGGAUCGGAGUC